rnacentral:rRNA from 1 species
GGCAGCAUGGUCUUAGCUUGCUAAGGCCGAUGGCGACCGGCGCACGGGUGAGUAACACGUAUCCAACCUGCCGUCUACUCUUGGACAGCCUUCUGAAAGGAAGAUUAAUACAAGAUGGCAUCAUGAGUCCGCAUGUUCACAUGAUUAAAGGUAUUCCGGUAGACGAUGGGGAUGCGUUCCAUUAGAUAGUAGGCGGGGUAACGGCCCACCUAGUCUUCGAUGGAUAGGGGUUCUGAGAGGAAGGUCCCCCACAUUGGAACUGAGACACGGUCCAAACUCCUACGGGAGGCAGCAGUGAGGAAUAUUGGUCAAUGGGCGCAGGCCUGAACCAGCCAAGUAGCGUGAAGGAUGACUGCCCUAUGGGUUGUAAACUUCUUUUAUAAAGGAAUAAAGUCGGGUAUGCAUACCCGUUUGCAUGUACUUUAUGAAUAAGGAUCGGCUAACUCCGUGCCAGCAGCCGCGGUAAUACGGAGGAUCCGAGCGUUAUCCGGAUUUAUUGGGUUUAAAGGGAGCGUAGAUGGAUGUUUAAGUCAGUUGUGAAAGUUUGCGGCUCAACCGUAAAAUUGCAGUUGAUACUGGAUAUCUUGAGUGCAGUUGAGGCAGGCGGAAUUCGUGGUGUAGCGGUGAAAUGCUUAGAUAUCACGAAGAACUCCGAUUGCGAAGGCAGCCUGCUAAGCUGCAACUGACAUUGAGGCUCGAAAGUGUGGGUAUCAAACAGGAUUAGAUACCCUGGUAGUCCACACGGUAAACGAUGAAUACUCGCUGUUUGCGAUAUACUGCAAGCGGCCAAGCGAAAGCGUUAAGUAUUCCACCUGGGGAGUACGCCGGCAACGGUGAAACUCAAAGGAAUUGACGGGGGCCCGCACAAGCGGAGGAACAUGUGGUUUAAUU